GACGAACGCUGGCGGCGUGCUUAACACAUGCCAGUCGAACGGAAAGGCCCUGCUUUUGUGGGGUGCUCGAGUGGCGAACGGGGGAGUAACACGUGAGUAACCUGCCCUUGACUUUGGGAUAACUUCAGGAAACUGGGGCUAAUACCGGAUAGGAGCUCCUGCUGCAUGGUGGGGGUUGGAAAGUUUCGGCGGUUGGGGAUGGACUCGCGGCUUAUCAGCUUGUUGGUGGGGUAGUGGAUUACCAAGGCUUUGACGGGUAGCCGGCAUGGGAGGGUGGCCGGCGACAAUGGUACUGCGGUACGGCGCAGUCUGCUACGGGAGGCAGUAGGGGGGAAUAUUGCACAAUGGGCGGAAGCGUGAUGCAACAACGCCGCGUGCGGAAAGACGGCCUUCGGGUUGUAAACCGCUUUCGCCUGUGACGAAGCGUGAGUGACGGUAAUGGGUAAAGAAGCACCGGCUAACUACGUG
rnacentral:rRNA from 1 species